UUUUCUCCACCAGCCCACAGAAAAACAAAACCACGUCCUACUACCCACGAAGCAUACCUCCCACCCGAACCCCAACUCCAACCAACCUGAGCUUUGUCUUCCCCCAACCCCGUUGCCGAUCUCUUCUCCCCCCGCCGCCGGCCUCUUCCCUCAUAGAUCAUAGCCUCGCCGCCGACCAACUCGACCCUACCACCUCCGGCGAGCUCCUCCUUCCACCCCACCCUCCUCUUCUCUCCUUCUAUCCAGCAGAUCAGGCCGAAACCCUAGCUAUCUAGCCCGACGCCAUGGCGACCACAGGAAGACCUGACCCCGGCCAUGGAUGACGCAGAUCAAAUCCAUAGGAGGACCCCAUGGACAAGGAACCCGCGGCCAUAGCGAUCUAGCAGGCAGCAAAGGAGGAGGCCGGCCGUGGCGACACCGGAUCCGGCAGCCACGGUCGCCAACGCCGUCGACCUGGCUUGGCCGGGCCUCGACGGGGAUCGCCUGUGUUCCACAACCACGAGCAGCGCGCCUCUCCUUCUGCUGCUCCGCCUGCAGACGCCAUGGCUUCACUUUAAUUUUGAGUUCAUCCCCUUCCAUUCACUUGAACCCUAAUUGAUUUGCUUCCUUGCUCCAUGGAUUGCUUGGGACAAGAUUUUGUUAGGCCAAUAUCAGUGGUUGCUAUCAACCAAUAGAGUUAGUCAUAGGCUUAGUGCGAUUGAGAAUGCAUUUUUCUGCUACCAGUACCAUGAUUUCAACGAAUUUUCAUUUAGUGACA